UGAAAAUUUCGUGUGCUUGUAAAAACAGGACCUAUAGUGAAAAGUUUUGGGAGAAAAGACUCUUAUACUAUGACAAGUUACAGCUAUGUUUUAGCCUGGAAUUUUUGCAGUGCUCUUAUCCAAGAAGCCUUUUUUGCAGAAUUCGCUUAAGUCAACUAGACGGUGCAGCUUGGAAACCCAAGAAACAGUACAGCGUUAUGUUGAAACAGGAUCUUGGGAUGAUACAAUAUCACAACCAAGUUGUCCAGUUUUAACAAUGGCGUAAGAACGUAUUAAAGUGGAAGUAUUAAAGUCGUAUUUUAGCUGAAAUGGAGAAUAUCUAAGGAGACAAUGGAAACGUAAUGGCAUUAUAACGACGAAACCACUUUUCACGCAAAUAGUCCAGUCAUUUGAAAUCAUGAAUGUGACUCCCCAAAGCUGAAUGUUUGAUUCGCUGUGACAGCUGCUGGUAUAAUAACUGGAUCCUACAUUUUUUUAUACUCCAACAGUGUCUUCAGUUGUGUACUUAACGAUGUUGUAGCAGUACAUCAUUAAUCAACCACCACUACAAAUCCGACACGACGGUAUUUCCAACCAGAUGGCCUACCCCCUGCAUUAUACCUUUGAUGUUCGUGCCUAUUGCCUAUUUCGACCACACAUUUUCCAAACUGGUCAUUGUGUAAUACUGCGCUGGCCUCUAAAAUCUUCAGACUUGACACCCUUCGAUUUCUGGUUAUGGGGUAUCAUCAAAGAGCGUGUGUAUAGCAAUACCUGAGGAAGAGGAUAAGGGUUGUAACAUCAUUACGGGUCUUAUACUCGCGAAAUGCGUAUGAAGUCUUUACACGUGUCAGCUGGUCAUUGACUUUUAUGUGUUGAAAAUGUUAGCGAAAACAGGUUGAGACCAUCAUAUAAAGGAUUUUUCAUAUUUCAUGACCUGGUGUGGUUACAUCAUUUUAACUCAGUGUGUGUAAGGUAUGUUUCUGUUGAAAAUAGGAAAUUACAGAUAUGUUCUCAGAUAACUAAAUCAUAGAUGUGUUCUUUAACUAAAGAAUACAUUUAUAAAUAUAAUCAACAGAAAAAUAAGUAUUUUGUAUUCAGUUAUUCUUUAAAUCCAUGCUUUUCUUUGAAAGAAAUUUAGAAGAAGUCUUCAGAGCUCCAGAAUAAAAAUUGGCUUUUAAUACAAAUCAAUUAAUUUGAAACGGAUUGUUUUGAAAAUCAGCUCUAUUCAUUCAGUAAUUAAAAUAAAAGUUCUUACGUAAAGUAAUUAAUUUCAAUGUUUAAGUACUUUUUCCAAUGGCGAAAAUUAGAAUGUAAAAGCUUUACUUGAAAUAUUGAAUGAUUGAAAAAACUUCAUUACUGAUCAGAAUUUGAAACAUAACUAUUUUAAUGCAUUUUCCCAUUUGUGAAUAUAAUCAAGUAACAGAUUAACUCAAAACUACCGUUUUUUAGUUGUUAGCUUGAUUGCAUCCAUGUGCAUUCUUGUUAACCUAAUUUUGUAACUUUACCUUCCUCAUGGUUUCUUACGAUUAAAUAUUUGUAGUCA